AUUCCAAAUAGCUAUUUUUGAGUCUAAAUGUUUGAACCAAAUGUUUGAGAAGCAAACUUAACAAGCUCAAUAAACACCCUUGCAUAUUGAACAUUCAACACCUUUGCACAUAAACAUACACAUGGAACAUCUAAAAUUUAGAUGUCAAGAGAAAAAUUCGCUUUCCAAAGUCACUUGGUCGAUAUUGAAUUUUUUCAUCCAACUAAAUGCUCAAAAUUAUAUCCAACUUCCCACCUACCAAACCAAAUAGCAUAACUGCUCAGAGCAAGAAGACCCCAAUCACAUUUCAAAACUUGUAAUAACUAAGUUCAUAAACAUGGACAGUAAAGAUAGCUAGCUGGGUUCCAAAAUCCCAGAAUUGUCAAAUCCAUGGACACAACUUGGCUUAACUUCCCUCGGCAAGAGUGGUUACUGUUGGGCUGAGACCUGAGGAAGGGAAACACAAGCAUGUGACCAUCAUCAAUUUUCUAUGCACUUUCCUCUGUUUCCCAGGACGACAAGACUUCCCCUCUCAGUGGGUGAGAGAAUUCAGAUUCCACAUUCCAGAUUCCUGCAACCUACACAGAGAGAGCCUUAGCUGGAAAAUGAUCAGAUGAAUAUUAACCAUCCCUAAGCAAGAAAUGUUAAAUUUCUUCUAUCAGAGGGGAAACAUUCUCCAGGCAGUUUCUCUGGAUAAUACCAAGCCAAAGCAUAAAUCUUUUUCAAAAAAAUUCAUAUGGGUCCAUUUGUCUUAACGUGUAUAGCAAAUAAUCUAACGAGGAGAAACUUCCAAAAGGGGAAAUUCCGUUCAAUGUGCGGGGGGAUUUAUUGAUUCAGACCAGUCACAAUCUCCAUUUGGCAAAGGGUAAGAGAAACAAUAAUGAUGCUGGCCAGGAGGGAGAUUGCCUCUCCUCUUUCUGUUUUGUAUUGAUCCAAUGACUAGCCUAUAGCCAGUAAAUGCAGUGAUGUUAUAUAUUAGUGGAAUCCAACUGUUAACCUAAGCCAACUAUGGAAAAGAAUAGACAAGAAUAGACCUACUGGAAAUCAUAAACAUGCAAAAAACCGCAAUUAAUUGCAGAAAGAAAAGCACAAAAUGACCCUUUUUUGGAUCAAGGGUUUUUAUAAAAAUUGUUACUUUAAUGACACAGCUAGGGGUUGAAAAAGCACACGUUGAGAUCACUGUUUGAUCACUAUUAAGAAUAUCAACAGUUUCCUUUCUCUCUGUGUUGUAGCAACCUUGAGAGCUACUAGUGCUGGUUCUUCACCUAUAAUGGCCAGAGGAGUAAAGGAGCAAGAGGGUAUUCUUAUAAAGGUGAGCUGGCCAUUUAAGAAUGGAUAGAGGGUCCAAUUUAUAAAAAAGCUCUCUCAUUUCUUUUACCACUCUACAAAAAGCUUUGUCCUUUAGUGUUUAAAAACUAUAUGGUUCUAGGAUUGGACAGGUGGUGAAAUCUUCCUUAUGGAAGGAGGGGUUUUUAUUUUCAUCUGUACAGUUGAGUUCCCAGUCUUUAAUAAAUGGUCAUAAGUUGUAAUUCCCAAAGUGACUACUACUAGUUCCCCUGGCUACUACUACUGGCUAGAGGAUGAGUUUUUAUCUCAUACUGUGAAACUCUAAUGUCUUCUCUCUUUGCAGUGUUCAUCAUUCCACAUUUGUUCUCUUGCCUUUCUUCCCUAGCUACAAGAAUGAAUUCUUCUUCCCAUGUUCUUGGAAGUUCAAAGAAUUUGAGUGGGACUAAAGCCAUUGAGUCUGGCUGGACAGACUAUCUUGGCUCCUGGUGCUAUGAAGAUGAAGAUUGCAUGCAUAAAAAACAAGUGAAUCACAAGAAUACUGGCUAUGGCUAUAGAAGUGAUGAAGAAGAUGAUGAUGAAGGAGAGAGCGAUGACUCCAUGGUCUCAGAUGCCUCAUCUGGCCCAAGUCAUUCUGAACUUCCAAGCACCCAAAAGAAGGCUGUGUUUUGCUCAUCAAGGAAAGACCAUAAAUUUGGGAAGCAAAGAGAUGAAGCAAGGAUCAAGGUGGAUAAAGAAGAGUACAUGGUAUAUGCAAAAAGUGCAGCUAGCGACAAUGGAUUGAAGGUUCGGAAAACCAAGAAGAUGGAGCUUAAAACAGAGAAGGUCUAAUCUUUCUGUUUUCUUAUUGGGAUGAACUGUUAGUGGGUUUUUGUUCUUUUUUUAAUUUAUUGUAGCAUCAUUCUUCAGUUUGACUGUAAGCAAAAUUACAAAAUGUGACCAUGUACAAUAUCCUAUGAGGGAAUGCAAGUCAUGAGUCAUGACACCUCAAGCCUCAACUCUCUCUUUAGUGUAGAUUCAAGAAUUUCACUCUAAUUGUUGAGUACCUGAACUUGGCAGAGUUUAAUUUUGGAUCAGAGAUGUAAAUCUCCAUAGUCUUAGUAUCAUGUACAUGUUUUGCAGUCUAGAUAACUAAACUUCCAUCUUCAUUUUUAGUCUCUCUUGGUUUGUGCUUACGUGUGUUAGUAUACAAGAAACAAGCAUUCAGGACAACCUAUCAGUCGACUGUCGAGCCAUAAUCCGCGAAGCUACUUCAGUUUGAAACUUAAAUUUGGGUUUAAGAAGGGUGGAAAGGGCUACCUACCAAUUGAGCUUUCCCAAACUCAACAGAAAACACAAGGGAAGAAAAACUAAAUUCCAGUUAAGUGCGUGAGAGGGUCUUUGAAAAUAAGGAUUUAGCAGUUUAGGAAUUAUAACAGUAAGCAAACAUGUGACACAGAUAAGACAAGAGAACAUUAAUGAGCUAUGGAUCAGCAACCUCAAAUCGCAUAGGAGAGUUAAUAAUGCAGGCGUACCUGUACGUGUCAAGAGAUCUGAAAACACAAGGCAGAAUGCAUCAUGUAAUGACCUUCUACGCUUGAGACACUUGGCGUAAACUGGAAGAGGAAGAGAUAAAUAUCACGAAACGAAAAAUUGCCAUCUUGGCAUCCAAGAGUGAUUAUCCAACUGCGAAAUGAAGUCACCCUCAGAGGAACUACCUAUAUUCACAAGUUGGGAUUGUUUCACUAACAGACAAGGGUAGUAUUUUGUUUGCUAAUCAUCACAUAACAUAAUAAUCAGGAAGCAUUACUCUGAAACUUCAUAUGUGAUUAUCGCAGAGUGCCCGGGUAUCCUUCUUUCUGUUGAUACUUUGUAUCUGCAAGAAAAGUGAGGAUUGAGUUCUCAAUCGUUAGUUCUGCUCAAAGACACACCAGUACAGUGAUGCUGGAAAACUAGAAACUAGCAAUCAAAUCUCAGUAGCCAAAAUAGUUACAACAGUUAAAACGAGAUGUAAAGGAUAAGUGAACAACUAAAAAAAGUUAUCCUAGGUGACUUUCUAAUAGAAGAACAUUCGUGCAUGGACUGAGUCUAGGGAGAAUAGUUAGUUGGAGUUGUGGCGGGCUCCAUCAAGAGCAACAUCCUCAGUUUAAAUUGCCGAUGACAAAAUACUAGCUGUAUCAUGAGAGGUACAGGAUACAACAGUAGCAAUCCACAAUAUAAGGACAUAAUAUUGUACUAUAAAGAUUCUAACAUAUCAUGAAAAGGAGCUGUUUUUGUUGGUUUCCUUCAAAAAAGUUAAUUGAACCAGACUGUUAAACAACUACACCACAAUAAUUUAAGUUAGUAGUUAUGACUUCACUGCUCUAUCACAAGAACUCCACAAACACCAAAUAUCUAAAGCACAUGACGGCAACUCCAAACAGAAAAAGAGGAUAGAACAUUAGAGUGAGAGAAUUUAGGAAUGCCAGAUGGAACAAACAGAGGAAGGAGCAUUGAAAAUUUAGAGCAUGAAUGACAGCAAAGCAUUUCCAGUAAAAUACCAAAUAACGAAUUUCAAUGUUCUCCUUUGAAAACAAAGCAUGGAACUUCUUAUUGCAUCGACGAUAGAUAUCAUAUAAUGUGGCUUCUCUCAUUGAGGCUGUGUCGUUGUGAGGCGUAAGAAUAGAGAAAGUGAAGUACGGAAGUUAAAAAUCUUUGAACAUCUAGCAAUCAUAUUGAACCAUUCGGUGUGGAAAGAUCUUGGCAUGUCGAUCCUCUCAUAGGUAUGUGCCCUAAGGUAAUCUCGUUGAGCUUAGACUAAGUUAGCUGGCAGCCUCUCCCUUCUGUAUGUGUCGAAGUAAGCAAGACUGGAAGACAUUCCUGGAGACUGGAGUGCUAAUGCCUCCAUUGAUAGCAAGGCAGACUACUCCUCUCCAAGCAGAUUGACGAUCGAUCAUCUCUUUGGCAAACUCAUUAGAAUUGAUACCAACAAAAAGCAGUUCACAAACAUCGACAAUAUGCUCAUGCGAAUGUAGCAUCAUUCAGUAGCUCCCAAUUUGUUUUACUCAAAUGAUUCUAGGAAUUCAAUCAUCAAGAAAGCCACUAAACAGGAUCUGGCUGCACCAAGAACUACACACGGUAUCAGGAAACAACAAGAGUCUAGUCACGAAGACUAUGUUGAACUUUAAGAGUCAGUCAAUAUUGAGGCUUUACAUCUAUGAUCAGUCAAUAUGGACGCUUUAUGAUUAUCCCGACUUUAACUCAUACCAGCAGGGCUAGUGGCGAACAUAAAAUUGAAUUCAUCAAAACGAAUAAUCGUGCUUAUUAUGAACUGAACCACAGAGCUACAUCAACAGAAUCGGAAAUGCAGCAAUCCAACAAUCACAGAUAUAACACUCCAUCGAAAAGAAGCAAGUAAGAAACGGUAGAUUACAAGAACUGCCAUAGAUAGAGAUGUUCAUUACCUCCUUCAAGAAGUGACAAUUAUGCGUAUGGUUUGCAAGAAAAAGCAAAGGGAUUUGCAGGAAUCGAAGAUCUAUCUAGCAGAUCUUUGAGCAUGAAAAUUCAAGUGGAGAUCGCGAUGAGGAAGGUCAGAGCAGGCAACUAAUUUCCUCCGUCGUCAAGCUAGGGUGGCGGGAGAUGAGUCGCCGGGAAAAAAGAUAGUAGUCAAGUAAUUUUCAAGAUGAACGGAUUGGUAGACUAACUUUUACAUUAUAACGCUUUGGUAUUUUUCAUCAAUUUAUAUACAUUUUGGCCAAAUUUGCCACCUCAUUAUUAUGACAUGUAUCUAAGAUAAUAUUUAAUUUUUUUUUGAAAUUGG
rnacentral:lncRNA from 1 species